rnacentral:lncRNA from 1 species
GGCCCCCGAAGUAUCACUAUGCGACCGCAUAGAAGGUUUCAAUGCGGUCGCAUAAACCAAUAAAUUUUUCCCCAAAUUUUCCUGCAACCUUCUAUGCGACCGCAUAGAUGGUUACACUAUGCGGUCGCAUAGACUAACCAACUAUGAAGUCUUUGCAUUUUGGUCCCUGAACUUUUCUUGUUGCUUCUCUUGACUUCUUUCUUCGAUUUCCUCAUCUUUUCAACAAAUGUUAUCCUCCAAUUGAUGAUUGACACCAUCGAAUCUCUUGCCACUCAU